UGAGGAAUAUUGGUCAAUGGGCGCAAGCCUGAACCAGCCAUCCCGCGUGAAGGAAGAAUGCGCUACGCGUUGUAAACUUCUUUUCCAGGGGGAGAAUUUUCCUGUCGAGACAGGGAUUGACGGUACCCUGGGAAUAAGCAUCGGCUAACUCCGUGCCAGCAGCCGCGGUAAUACGGAGGAUGCGAGCGUUAUCCGGAUUUAUUGGGUUUAAAGGGUGCGUAGGCGGAUUGAUAAGUCAGUGGUGAAAUUCUGCAGCUUAACUGUAGACUUGCCGUUGAUACUGUUAGUCUUGAGUGUGGUCAAGGCAGGCGGAAUGUGUAAUGUAGCGGUGAAAUGCUUAGAUAUUACACAGAACACCGAUUGCGAAGGCAGCUUGCUGGGUCAUUACUGACGCUGAUGCACGAAAGCGUGGGG
rnacentral:rRNA from 1 species